GCCAUGCGAGUCACAUAGCAAUAUGUGGCAUACGGCUCAGUAACACGUAGUCAACAUGCCCAGGGGACGUGGAUAACCUCGGGAAACUGAGGAUAAACCACGAUAGGUCAUCACUUCUGGAAUGGGUAAUGACUUAAAUCUAUAUGGCCCCUGGAUUGGACUGCGGCCGAUCAGGCUGUUGGUGAGGUAAUGGCCCACCAAACCUGUAACCGGUACGGGCUCUGAGAGGAGGAGCCCGGAGAUGGGCACUGAGACAAGGGCCCAGGCCCUAUGGGGCGCAGCAGGCGCGAAACCUCUGCAAUAGGCGAAAGCUUGACAGGGUUACUCUGAGUGAUUUCCGUUAAGGAGAUCUUUUGGCACCUCUAAAAAUGGUGCAGAAUAAGGGGUGGGCAAGUCUGGUGUCAGCCGCCGCGGUAAUACCAGCACCCCGAGUGGUCGGGACGUUUAUUGGGCCUAAAGCAUCCGUAGCCGGUUCUACAAGUCUUCCGUUAAAUCCACCUGCUUAACAGAUGGGCUGCGGAAGAUACUAUAGAGCUAGGAGGCGGGAGAGGCAAGCGGUACUCGAUGGGUAGGGGUAAAAUCCGUUGAUCCAUUGAAGACCACCAGUGGCGAAGGCGGCUUGCCAGAACGCGCUCGACGGUGAGGGAUGAAAGCUGGGGGAGCAAACUGGACUAGAUACCCGGGUAGUCCCAGCUGUAAACGAUGCAGACUCGGUGAUGAGUUGGCUUAUUGCUAACUCAGUGCCGCAGGGAAGCCGUUAAGUUUGCCGCCUGGGGAGUACGGUCGCAAGACUGAAACUUAA
rnacentral:rRNA from 1 species